CUCGGAGUUUGAUCCUGGCUCAGAUUGAACGCUGGCGGAAUGCUUUACACAUGCAAGUCGAACGGUAGAGGGGGCAACCCCUUGAGAGUGGCGAACGGGUGAGUAAUAUAUCGGAACGUGUCCAGUCGUGGGGGAUAACGUAGCGAAAGUUACGCGUAAUACCGCAUACGAUCUAAGGAUGAAAGCGGGGAUCGCAAGACCUCGCGCGGAUUGGAGCGGCCGAUAUCAGAUUAGGUAGUUGGUAAGGGUAAAGGCCUACUAAGCCAACGAGUCUGUAGCUGGUCUGAGAGGACGACCAGCCACGACUGGAACUGAGACACGGUCCAGACUCCGUACGGAGGCAGCGAGUGGGGAAUUUGACAAGUGACGCAAGUCUGAUCCGAGCCAUUCCCGCGUGCAGG
rnacentral:rRNA from 1 species